AACGAACGCUGGCGGCAGGCUUAACACAUGCAAGUCGAACGCCCCGCAAGGGGAGUGGCAGACGGGUGAGUAACGCGUGGGAAUCUACCCAGAUCUACGAAACAACAGUUGGAAACGACUGCUAAUACCGUAUACGCCCUACGGGGGAAAGAUUUAUCGGAUUUGGAUGAGCCCGCGUUGGAUUAGCCAGUUGGUGGGGUAAUGGCCUACCAAGGCGACGAUCCAUAGCUGGUCUGAGAGGAUGAUCAGCCACACUGGGACUGAGACACGGCCCAGACUCCUACGGGAGGCAGCAGUGGGGAAUAUUGGACAAUGGGCGCAAGCCUGAUCCAGCCAUGCCGCGUGAGUGAUGAAGGCCUUAGGGUUGUAAAGCUCUUUCACCGAUGAAGAUAAUGACGGUAGUCGGAGAAGAAGCCCCGGCUAACUUCGUGCCAGCCGCCGCCGUAAUAC
rnacentral:rRNA from 1 species